UGGACAACUGCGGCAGGAUAGCAGUUGUAGCAAGGGGGAUCACCAAAAAGUGGUCGUUGGAUAGAACAGCAUUGUGAUAGCACUAACUCAGCGCACCCCCUGCCUGAUGGUUCCUCAAUGCCCAUGAGCAAGGAUCUCCCUGGGGGACGCCUGCUGGCUGUUAAAAAUCUGAGCUACCUUUCAGCUCGAGUGGGCUCAAAGAAUGAAGGACGUCUGUGUAUGGAAAUAAAAUAUUGUUCCACAUAACAUGCGGAGAUAGAUGUCUACAGCACUGAAGAGGUACAGCAACGGGUGAUCCCAACCUGAGAAGAGAAUAUCCUGCUGUACCACACUGAUGUUCUAAUGUGCCAAUCCUAGCCAUCUCAGCACUGACACUGGUGAAUCAGAACUCAACAGAGACUGAGGUAAAACUUGACCAACAGGAAUGGGAGGAUUUCCCCAGAAGCACUCAUUAACUGAAACUUCAGUUCACAAAGUCAAGCCCCCACCCUCCUAUCCACCACCAUUCCCAUGCCCCAAAUCUUCUUGAAAGGAAACCGCUGAGCUCCAAAGGCAAGAGUUAAAAGAUGAGCCCUUAUAACCUGCUUGGAUUUUGCAAGACUCCUUUUACUUCUUCAUAAGUCUUACAAAAAAUAUUAUAUUGUACUUCAAGUUCACCUUAGAAAAAUUUACCUGCAGACCGUCUUCAGACACGCACCUCAAAUCGAACAUUGUGGAGAUCACAAUACACGAAACCUUCAGUAUUUCAGAGUACAUGACCAUGCAGAUCACAAAGUCCAGGCCAACAGUUCAGUGCAAUACCAAAGGAGAGCUGUUCUGGUGGAGAUGUCACUCUUCCAAGGAUUUCAUAGUGUGGUCAAGCCUAGGUGCUCAUCUCUUACCACAAAGUAAAUCUCACAACGCAUGAGGAUUUCACCUCCAUCACACUGAGCAGUGAAAGACAACAGACUGCAACAUUCUUUCCUGGGGGCAUCCCAGGCCAGCAUAGCAGUGAUGUAAUCAGGCUGCCAAACUGCCAAUCAAAUGGAAGGAUUUUCAUGGACUCACAAGCAGGAGAUUUAAAAGCAGGAAUCUAGAGAAACUUAAAAGCCUGGGACAUCCACAUGGAGUGAACACGGAAGAUACAGUAUUCUGAAAAAUAACUUCUAAUAAAAUCAAAAAUAUUUGAACAAAUA